rnacentral:rRNA from 1 species
GACGAACGCUGGCGGCGUGCCUAAUACAUGCGAGUAGAACGCUGAAGGAGGAGCUUGCUUCUCUGGAUGAGUUGCGAACGGGUGAGUAACGCGUAGGUAACCUGCCUGGUAGCGGGGGAUAACUAUUGGAAACGAUAGCUAAUACCGCAUAAGAUUGACUAUUGCAUGAUAGUCAGUUAAAAAGUGCAAUUGCAUCACUACCAGAUGGACCUGCGUUGUAUUAGCUAGUUGGUGGGGUGACGGCUCACCAAGGCGACGAUACAUAGCCGACCUGAGAGGGUGAUCGGCCACACUGGGACUGAGACACGGCCCAGACUCCUACGGGAGGCAGCAGUAGGGAAUCUUCGGCAAUGGACGGAAGUCUGACCGAGCAACGCCGCGUGAGUGAAGAAGGUUUUCGGAUCGUAAAGCUCUGUUGUAAGAGAAGAACGAGUGUGAGAGUGGAAAGUUCACACUGUGACGGUAUCUUACCAGAAAGGGACGGCUAACUACGUG